CCCUGGCUCAGGACGAACGCUGGCGGCGUGCUUAACACAUGCAAGUCGAACGAUGAACUGGAGCUUGCUCCAGGGAUUAGUGGCGAACGGGUGAGUAACACGUGAGUAACCUGCCCUUGACUCUGGGAUAAGCGCUGGAAAUGGCGUCUAAUACCGGAUACGAGCUUCAGCCGCAUGGCUAGGAGUUGGAAAGAAUUUUGGUCAAGGAUGGACUCGCGGCCUAUCAGCUAGUUGGUGAGGUAAUGGCUCACCAAGGCGACGACGGGUAGCCGGCCUGAGAGGGUGACCGGCCACACUGGGACUGAGACACGGCCCAGACUCCUACGGGAGGCAGCAGUGGGGAAUAUUGCACAAUGGGCGAAAGCCUGAUGCAGCAACGCCGCGUGAGGGAUGACGGCCUUCGGGUUGUAAACCUCUUUUAGUAGGGAAGAAGCGAAAGUGACGGUACCUGCAGAAAAAGCACCGGCUAACUA
rnacentral:rRNA from 1 species